rnacentral:rRNA from 1 species
UACGGAGGGUGCAAGCGUUGUCCGGAAUCACUGGCGUAAAGGGCGCGUAGGCGGCUCAUGAAGGCUGUGGUGAAAGUCCGGGGCUCAACCUCGGAUCGGCCGUGGCGACUCGUGGGCUGGAGCACUGUAGAGGCGGGUGGAAUUCCGGGUGUAGCGGUGGAAUGCGUAGAGAUCCGGAAGAACACCAGUGGCGAAGGCGACUUCCUGGCCUGUUCUUGACGCUGAGGCGCGAAAGCUAAGGGUAGCAAACGGGG